AUUGAGCGCUGGCGGCAUGCUUUACACAUGCAAGUCGAACGGUAACAGGGAGCUUGCUCCGCUGACGAGUGGCGAACGGGUGAGUAAUGCGUCGGAACGUGCCGAGUAGUGGGGGAUAACGCAUCGAAAGGUGUGCUAAUACCGCAUACGAACUGAGGUUGAAAGUGGGGGACCUUCGGGCCUCACGCUAUUCGAGCGGCCGACGUCUGAUUAGCUAGUUGGUGAGGUAAAGGCUCACCAAGGCGACGAUCAGUAGCGGGUCUGAGAGGAUGAUCCGCCACACUGGGACUGAGACACGGCCCAGACUCCUACGGGAGGCAGCAGUGGGAAUUUUGGACAAUGGGCGCAAGCCUGAUCCAGCCAUGCCGCGUGUCUGAAGAAGGCCUUCGGGUUGUAAAGGACUUUUGUCCGGGAGCAAAUGCUGGUGGCUAACAUCCACCGGAGCUGAGAGUACCGGAAGAAUAAGCACCGGUUAACUACGUGCCAGCAGCCGCAGUAACAC
rnacentral:rRNA from 1 species